rnacentral:lncRNA from 1 species
UAUUUAAAUUUUGGGCCGCCGUCGUUUAUUCUCCCGGUAGAAUUUUACUUGCCCAUCCGCCCCUGCUUAUAGACAAUUCUUAGACCAUUUUUAGAUGCGCCAUAAUAUGCAAAAAUUAGCGUCUUCCCAAGUGACGGAACCUCUGCCCGUUUGAAAUCAUAGACGUAGUGAGAUAGUCCACAUAGAUAUGUGAGAUACUCCACAUACUGUUCCAAGCUUGAAUUAGACGUCAUCCUCUAAUUUUUUUCUAUUGAUUUUGCUUCGCAUACUAUCUACUACCAGUCCAAUUUUUUUUCUAUUAUGUACGAGCAACCAAAUUUCUUUUUCUGGUAACAGAUCACGAAGUGAUAAUCGCUAAGGUAAUUUCAAACUUUCACUUAGCGGAUGAAGCACACCAAGAAGAAAUGACUUUUUGUAUAAAUGUGACUAGAUUUUAAUUUUUUUGAUUCCACCAAAUGUUUGAAAGUUAAUUAAAACCAAUCAUGUAAUUUUUAUUUAUUUAUUUCUUUAUGCAAACUUACAUAUUUAUAAUGUAUAUUAUUUAUUUAUUCUCAUUUACAAUUUGGGAUAACUGUUCAUUUGGUUAAGACCGCAUAAGUUGUGACCGCGACUAAUUCUGAUGUAACCAAGUUCACCCCAGCUGGUUCCCCAUGAGUUUUUAACGAUGAAGACGUCAUUAGUGUAUCCCACAGCAAGAACUCCGUGAUUAAGGCUAGUUCCACAAUUUUUAUUGUUGAAAAUUCCACCUCCAUAAAGCUGCCAUGUAUCUGCAUCUACAGCUAUGGAUACUGGACCUACGCUAG